GCGUUUGGUAUUCGCCACUUUGCCCGCUGCGUUUUAUGAAUCUAUCUUUAUUAUUGUUCAGUUAGCUACAUAAAUUGCAACUAUAUAUCGUCUCGCGGAUUCACGUCGCGAGUGAUGCAUAGUGUUCAUUCCACUUCAUCUCAAAAACGAAAAUACACUCGUUCAAAUUCAGUGUUUUCUAACAUGUGAUUACAAAUGUAAAUAAUUAAUUGAAAUUAUCGCACAAAAUGGACGUGAAAGGUUGUAAUCGUGGGUGUAAUGUGUGAUUACUUUAUUCCUGUUGUGUUUUCUUGGUUUUUGUGAGUGUGAAAGUGUAUUUUUUCGAAGGAUUUUGACGAUCUCGCGUUGGGUUUCGCUGCCAAAAAUACAUAAAUCGGUGGCAAAACUACUGAAUUACGUCAAACAAAAUGGUGCAGAAGAAACUGAAUCGAGGAAAGUGCAAACACUGAACCAAGAGGAGGGUUAAAGCUCAUAAUGACCUAGUUUGUGAUAAUACAUAGCCAACCAAUUCAAAUAUAGGCCUAUUUUACUAUUAGAAAAACUUUAAAAAUCCCGCGUUCCUGUAGUCAUAGAGUCAAUUAGAAACCAAAGCAACUCAUUAGGACAUAACCGAUAGAAAAUUUGAAUAAAAAAGCAAAUCUAUAUUUUCGAACCAAAGCUAGUCUUUUAAGCAUGUCGAAUCAAAUACCUAUAUAUAGCCAGGUUGUUCCAAAAUCUCAGUAUAGGGCAAAGAAUUCGAAAGUCAGUAAGAGUCAGAAUCCGCAGAGGAAUGAUUUUGAUCCUCUGAAUUUUAACAACGGUGGCAAUUUCGCUAUGAGUACUCCUCUUGAUGGGAAGGAAAAGGAGAAGAAGGAGGAUAAGCCGAGGAGGGUUAAGGAGGACUCUGGGAGGACGAGGAGGGUGAGGAAUGAAGGCAGCGAGGGUAAAGUGGAGGCGUAUCUGAGGCAGUACCAGGUCAGCAUGAGGCAACAGCAGCAUCGACAUUCUGCUGUUAGACAGGCUGAGCAUCGAGU